AGAAAUAAAAGGCAUUACUUCUGGGGUGAAUUACAUGACUUGCUGCUUUUAAACUUGUCUUACUGACUGGGUGGAAUUAGUGAACACCAGGAUCAUGAUGUCUGAAAGAAAGUAAGCAAAUGAGAAAAGGUAAAUCAUGUGACACAAGAAAUAUUAAUACUCAGCACUAACUGAAAAUUCUGAAACAGCUUAUCCCUUUUUUUUUCUGUGGUGUUUUUUGUUUGCUUGUUUUUUGUUCUAAUAUACUAGUGCUUCUAUUUUGAUACCGUUCUGGCUGUCAAAAAGAAAAAAAAAAAAAGUGAUCUGACUGGGAUCAGAACUCAAAAGCACAGUGUACCAGCACUUCAGAGAUCAGAGCUGCAGUCAGUGGGAUUUUGCUACCAGUUAUUAGGGAUGGUAAAGUGGAGAGAAGCAAAAGAGUGAAAGCUGAUCUUUCUCACACUGAAAUCAAUAAGAGAUUUGCCACUGACUUCAAAAGAAGUAGCAGCAGGGCAAAAUACACAGCCAAAGAGAGAACACUCAGAGUAUCUAGAAAGAAGAAGAAAGGAAAGAACAAAAGGGGAGAGAAAAAAAUGUUUGGAGAAAAGAUAAAAAAUGUAAAAAGAUAGAAAG
rnacentral:lncRNA from 1 species